UACGUAGGAUGCGAGCGUUAUCCGGAUUUACUGGGCGUACGGUGCGCGCAGGCGGCUUGACAAGUCGGUUGUGAAAUCUCCUGGCUUAACUGGGAGGGGCCAUCCGAUACUGUCAGGCUUGAGUGCAGCAGAGGAAGAUGGAAUUCCCGGUGUAGUGGUGAAAUGCGUAGAUAUCGGGAGGAACACCAGUGGCGAAGGCGGUCUUCUGGGCUGUUACUGACGCUGAGGCGCGAAAGCGUGGGGAGCGAACAGG
rnacentral:rRNA from 1 species